rnacentral:rRNA from 1 species
AGUAAUGCGUGGGUAACCAACCCCCCGGAUGGGGAUAACCCCUGGAAACGGGGGCUAAUACCCGGCGGAGUCUCCGGGGCGGGUAGGCUCCGGGGAUGAAAGGCCCUUUUUGGGGCCGCCGGGGGACGGGCCCACGUGGCAUCAGCUAGCUGGUGGGGUAAUGGCCCACCAGGGCUGCGACGCCUAGGGGGUGUGAGAGCAUGGCCCCCGCCACUGGGACUGAGACACUGCCCAGACACCUGCGGGUGGCUGCAGCCGAGAAUCUUCGGCAAUGCCCGCAAGGGUGACCGAGCGACGCCGCGUGGGGGAAGAAGGCCUUCGGGUUGUAAACCCCUGUCGGGAGGGCGGAAAGGCAUCGGGGGCCGGAACUCCGGUGCGUUUGACCUCCCUCCGGAGGAAGCGCGGGCUAAGUCCGUGCCAGCAGCCGCGGUAAGACGGGCCGCGCAAGCGUUGUUCGGAUUCACUGGGCUUAAAGGGCGCGUAGGCGGCCUGCUGAGUCGGCGGUGAAAGGCCCCGGCUCAACCGGGGAGCGGCCGCCGAUACUGGUGGGCUGGAGGGGGGAAGAGGCGCGUGGAACUGCCGGUGUAGCGGUGAAAUGCGUUGAGAUCGGCAGGAACUCCGGUGGCGAAGGCGGCGCGCUGGGCCCUUCCUGACGCUGAGGCGCGAAAGCCAGGGGAGCAAACCGGAUUAGAUACCCGGGUAGUCCUGGCUGUAAACGAUGGGCACUGAGGGGGUAGAACCUGAGGGCUUUGCUCCCGUAGCGCAAGCAUUAAGUGCCCCGCCUGGGGAGUACAGCCGCAAGGCCGAAACUCAAAGGAAUUGACGGGAGCUCGCACAAGCGGUGGAGCAUGUGGCUUAAUUCGAGGAUACGCGAGGAACCUUACCCGGGCUUGACAUGCGCGGAUGCCCGCCGGGAAACCGGUUUGGGCUGCCCCGCAAGGGGUGAAACGCGCACAGGUGCUGCAUGGCUGUCGUCAGCUCGUGUCGUGAGAUGUCGGGUUAAGUCCCGUAACGAGCGGAACCCCUGCCCCUAGUUGCCAGCGGGCAAGCCGGGCACUCUAGGGGGACUGCCGGCGUGAAGCCGGAGGAAGGUGGGGACGACGUCAAGUCCUCAUGGCCCUGAUGCCCGGGGCUGCACACGUGCUACAAUGCGGCCUACAGCGGGAAGCGAACCCGCGAGGGGGAGCCAAUCCCUGAAAGGGCCGCCCAGUUCGGAUCGCAGGCUGCAACCCGCCUGCGUGAAGCCGGAAUCGCUAGUAAUCGCGGAUCAGCUACGCCGCGGUGAAUGUGUUCCCGAGCUCUGUACACACCGCCCGUCAAGCCACCAAAGUGGGGGGCACCUGAAGUCGCCGGC